rnacentral:misc_RNA from 1 species
GAGAAAUAUAUGAAAGGAAAACAUACCCAUUUGAAUUUUCUACGGUUGAAAUGCCUUAUGAGACAUAUAAUGGGGUGAAUGUGAGGCUGAGGUAUGUUCUCAAAGUUACCAUCAGUCGUGGUUACGCUGGUAGCAUAGUAGAAUAUCAAGACUUCGUGGUUCGCAACUAUUCUCCACUUCCAUCAAUUAAUAAUGGUAUCAAGAUGGAAGUCGGAAUUGAA